rnacentral:rRNA from 1 species
UACGGAGGGUGCAAUCGUUAUCCGGAUUCACUGGGUUUAAAGGGUGCGUAGGCGGGCUUGUAAGUCAGUGGUGAAAGCCCGGGGCUUAACUCCGGAACUGCCGUUGAUACUGCAAGCCUUGAGUACAGUUGAGGUGGGCGGAAUACAUCAUGUAGAGGUGAAAUUCUUAGAUAUGAUGUAGAACACCGAUUGCGAAGGCAGCUCACUAAAGUGUAACUGACGCUGAGGCACGAAAGCGUGGGGAUCAAACAGG